rnacentral:rRNA from 1 species
GAGUGAGCGGCAACAGCUCAAUUUGAAAUCUGGCUCUUUUAGAGUCCGAGUUGUAAUUUGCAGAGGGCGCUUUGGCUUUGGCAGCGGUCCAAGUUCCUUGGAACAGGACGUCACAGAGGGUGAGAAUCCCGUACGUGGUCGCUGGCUAUUGCCGUGUAAAGCCCCUUCGACGAGUCGAGUUGUUUGGGAAUGCAGCUCUAAAUGGGAGGUACAUUUCUUCUAAAGCUAAAUAUUGGCCAGAGACCGAUAGCGCACAAGUAGAGUGAUCGAAAGAUGAAAAGCACUUUGGAAAGAGAGUCAAACAGCACGUGAAAUUGUUGAAAGGGAAGCGCUUGCAGCCAGACUUGCUUACAGUUGCUCAUCCGGGUUCUUACCCGGUGCACUCUUCUGUAGGCAGGCCAGCAUCAGUUUGGGCGGUAGGAUAAAGGUCUCUGUCACGUACCUCCUUUCGGGGAGGCCUUAUAGGGGAGACGACAUACUACCAGCCUGGACUGAGGUCCGCGCAUCUGCUAGGAUGCUGGCGUAAUGGCUGUAAGCGGCCCGUCUUGAACCACCGGACCGA